rnacentral:tRNA from 1 species
GGAGAGAUGGCUGAGCUGGUCUAAGGCGCACGACUGGAAAUCGUGUGUACGUUUGAAGCGUACCGUGGGUUCGAAUCCCACUCUCUCCGCCA